CUGAAUAACUCAGCUGAUCGCAUGGUCUCGCACCGGCGACGUAUCUUCCAAGUGUCUGCCUUAUCAACUUUUGAUGGUAGUUUAUGCGACUUCCAUGGCUGCAAGAGGUAAAGGAGAAAAAGGAUUCGACUCCGAUGAGGGAGCCUGAGAAACGGCUACCACAUCCAAGGAAGGCAGCAGGCGCGCAAAUUACCCAAUCUCGGAACGAGGAGGUAGUGACGAAAAAUAACGAGACGGUUCUCUAUGAGGCCCGUUAUCGGAAUGAGUACAAUUCAAACCUUUUAACGAGGAUCUACGAGAGGGCAAGUCUGGUGCCAGCAGCCGCGGUAAUUCCAGCUCUCGAAGUGUAUAUCAUUGUUGUUGCGGUUUAAAAA
rnacentral:rRNA from 1 species